rnacentral:rRNA from 1 species
UGGGGAAUUUUGGACAAUGGGCGAAAGCCUGAUCCAGCAAUGCCGCGUGUGUGAAGAAGGCCUUCGGGUUGUAAAGCACUUUUGUCCGGAAAGAAAUCCUCUGGGUUAAUACCUCGGGGGGAUGACGGUACCGGAAGAAUAAGCACCGGCUAACUACGUGCCAGCAGCCGCGGUAAUACGUAGGGUGCAAGCGUUAAUCGGAAUUACUGGGCGUAAAGCGUGCGCAGGCGGUUUUGUAAGACGGAUGUGAAAUCCCCGGGCCUAACCUGGGGAACUGCAUUCGUGACUGCAAGGCUAGAGUAUGGCAAGAGGGGGGUAGAAUUCCACGUGUGAGCAGUGAAAUGCGUAGAGAUGGUGGAGGAAUACCGAUGGCGAAGGCAGCCCCCUGGGCCAAUACUGACGCUCAUGCACGAAAGCGUGGGGGAGCAAACAGGAUU